UCAAACUUGGUCAUUUAGAGGAAGUAAAAGUCGUAACAAGGUUUCCGUAGGUGAACCUGCGGAAGGAUCAUUACGAGGAACCGGCCUACCCGGCCGGAACCCCCCACCACUGUGUACCGAACUUUUGUUGCCUCGGCGGGCCGGACGCCCACCAGCGCCCCCCCCUUGCGGGAGCCGCCCGCCGAAGGACCAUCCAAAACCUUUUGUUGAUAACGUCUGAUUACUUUUUAUAAAGAAAUACAACUUUUAACAAUGGAUCUCUUGGCUCUGGCAUCGAUGAAGAACGCAGC
rnacentral:misc_RNA from 1 species